rnacentral:rRNA from 1 species
CUCGUAGCUUGCUAUGAGAACAAUUAKUGGCWGAYGGKUGAGUAAUGCAUAGGAAUCUACCUAGUAGUAUAGGAUAGCCACUAGAAAUGGUGGAUAAUACUGUAUAAUCCCUGCGGGGGAAAGAUUUAUCGCUACAUGAUGAGCCUAUGUUAGAUUAGCUAGUUGGUGGGGUAAUGGCCUACCAAGGCAGUGAUCUAUAGCUGGUCUGAGAGGAUGAUCAGCCACACUGGAACUGAGACACGGUCCAGACUCCUACGGGAGGCAGCAGUGGGGAAUAUUGGACAAUGGGCGCAAGCCUGAUCCAGCUAUGCCGCGUGAGUGAGGAAGGCCUUAGGGUUGUAAAACUCUUUCAGUGGGGAAGAUAAUGACGGUACCCACAGAAGAAGUCCCGGCAAACUCCGUGCCAGCAGCCGCGGUAAUACGGAGGGGGCAAGCGUUGUUCGGAAUUAUUGGGCGUAAAGGGCAUGUAGGUGGUUUGGUAAGUUAAAGGUGAAAUGCCAGGGCUUAACCCUGGAGCYGCKYWUAGUACUGCCAGACUGGAGUCCGGGAGA